rnacentral:tRNA from 1 species
ACGUGGGUGGCUCAGUCGGUUAAGCAUCUGACUUCGGCUCAGGGCAUGAUCUCACAGGUUUGCGAGUUCGAGUCCCGCCCUAGGCU